GAUGAACGCUGGCGGCGUGCCUAAUACAUGCAAGUCGAGCGAACAGACGAGGAGCUUGCUCCUCUGACGUUAGCGGCGGACGGGUGAGUAACACGUGGAUAACCUACCUAUAAGACUGGGAUAACUUCGGGAAACCGGAGCUAAUACCGGAUAAUAUAUUGAACCGCAUGGUUCAAUAGUGAAAGACGGUUUUGCUGUCACUUAUAGAUGGAUCCGCGCCGCAUUAGCUAGUUGGUAAGGUAACGGCUUACCAAGGCGACGAUGCGUAGCCGACCUGAGAGGGGGAGCGGCAAAAAUGGAAAUGAGACACGGCACAGACUCAGAGGGGGGGCAGCAGGAGGGAAUUUCACGAAAGGGGGGAAAGCCUGACGGAGCAACGCCGGGGGAGGGAAGAAGGUCUGCGGAUGGGAAAACUUUGUUAUUAGGGAAAAAAAAAUGUGAAAGUAACUAUGCACGUUUUGACGGUACCAAAACAAAAAGCCACGGCUAAAUACGU
rnacentral:rRNA from 1 species